CCUACGGGAGGCAGCAGUGAGGAAUAUUGGUCAAUGGCCGGAAGGCUGAACCAGCCAUGCCGCGUGAAGGUCAGUGCCCUAUGGGCGUUAAACUUCUUUUGUGCGGGAGCAAUAAUGGUCACGUGUGGCCAGACGAGAGUACCGUACGAAUAAGCAUCGGCUAACUCCGUGCCAGCAGCCGCGGUAAUACGGGGGAUGCAAGCGUUAUCCGGAUUUAUUGGGUUGAAAGGGUGCGUAGGCUGUGAGGUAAGUCAGCGGUGAAAUGCCCCCGCUCAACGGGGUGAAGUGCCAUUGAUACUGCCUGGCUGGAAUGCGGAUGCCGUGGGAGGAAUGUGUGGUGUAGCGGUGAAAUGCAUAGAUAUCACACAGAACACCGAUUGCGAAGGCAUCUCACGAAUCCGCGAUUGACGCUGAUGCACGAAAGCGUGGGUAUCAAACAGGAUUAGAUACCCUUGUAGUC
rnacentral:rRNA from 1 species